CCUACCGCCAAUAAAGCCGACAAAGAAGAAGAAGGAAGAAACGUCACAUCCGGUUAUGAAAGGGGAAUCACUUGAGAACCCCCGGCGCCAAAAACAAAUUUUUUUUGUCAUAAACGGAUACUAAAGAAAAUUCAAAUGUGUACAACGGUGGACACUGGAGAGAUCAUCAUCCUCAGUGAUGAUGAUGAUGAUGAUGAUGACGACUGUGAAGAAGAUGUAUCAUGCAGUGAACCCUCAGUUCUCCUGGUGGAGGUGGAGGAUGUGAAGCAGAGUGACUGUGUUUUACCUCCCACUGCUCUGGAUGAAGACCUGGUCGUCACCUACUCCCGCCGUGCUGAGGUGCUGCCUCACGCUCGCUACGACUGUCCCAUACAUCCUUUUGCGGCUACAGAUUGUGAGAUUGGUGCUCCCGUGGCUUCUAACCAGCUGAUGUGUGAACAGUGCUUCUGCUACAUCUGUGACAAGUUGGCGUCAUCGUGUGUGAUGUGGUGUCACAGUGGUGUGUGUCACUGCAACAGCCACAAGAGGAGCGAGUUCUGGAACCAGUUCAGAAACAGUGCACUGCUGGGAGGACUGAAGAUUUUCAACCUCACUCUGUCUGAAAUAGACUCUCACCUCCGACAUGCAGAGACGAUGCUGCAGAACUUUAGACAAGAGCUCUCUGCGCUCUUCUCUUCCUUCCUGAAGGGAAAGACAGCACAGGAAUACGGUCUGAAUCUACCGAACCAACAAAUCCUCAUCUUUGACUACACGCCUGUGUAUGAGUUUGUGUCAUCGUUCCUGAACAAAGCAGACAAAGAGGACGGCAGAGCUGCUGCCAUCAUGCGACUGGGAGCUCUUCAGUGCUUUAUUAAGCAUUUUCAAGCAUCAGGGACAAUCAUCUCGCAGUCUCCCAUGGCUCAUGCUACUGAAGCCAAACUAGUGUUAAUGCAGAGGGUCAUAGCGUCGGUGCAGAGACAGAUGGUGAUGGCUGAUUUUACCUCAGAGUUCAUCAACAAACUGCAGGACUUUUACAAGAAGCUCUAUUUACCUGCAGAGCUGAAGAGCCAUAGGAACAGCCUGUGUGUUCGUCCUUGGGAUGAUAUCCUGCUGGUGUCUGUGCUGAGGGGGCAGAACGUGUCGGGCGUCCGCAAAGACAAAGGCAAGAAGGACGUGCUGAUUGAACCGAUUUCUGUGGUUCUACUGAGAGCAGAACUCCUACAGCGACAGCACAGGUACAGAGAAUUGUGUCGCUACCUACGAGUCGUCCAGACUGAUGAUUCAAAACUCUUCCAGCACGUACAAGACCUCGUCCCGUUCUUCAUGUGCAUGGAGGGAGACUUUACGUCCGCUGUGCACAGCUUGCUGCCCUCAGUGAACGCCCCUGCCUCCCGCUUUACUCCACAGCUCUUCUGCUUUUAUCUUCGCGUCUUAAACACAGCAACAGCACCAAAGCUGGUGGUCAGUCAGCCGGCACAGCUCUGUCGCUCUGAUGCAGCAUGGGAGCCAAUUAAAGGUGCUGUGCCACUGGCGCGUGCUGUGCUGGUGAGGUUUGCUCUCAGGGUUCACAGAUGCUGCUCUGAAGUCUUGAGUGAUUCUCAGUGUUGGACCAGUUUACUCCGAGUCGUCAACACACCCACUGCCCUCCCAGAACCGAGCCCACAGUUUCUACUUGACAUGAAGGAUGUGGUGAAUAUGAUACUGCUCGACCAGCACGGGUCAAACUUACACAUCCCACGAUUCUUUCAAGAUGUGUACCCAGAUCAGGCCUUGUUGCUGUUGGUAACGGGGGCUUUAGGUUUGAGAAUAGUUGUUGCUCCUCUGAGUCCAGCCCUCCCUGUGCUCAAUACAUUUACGGAGAACACGUGGGCUCUCAGGUGGCUGUGGACCAAUUUGUCCUUCAACCCACAACGCCUCGCUGCCUUCUCACAGGAGAUCUACCAGGAGAUGAAAAACACAGCAGAUGGGGAAAAUUUGCCAGUCUUGCCUCACCUCUUGGUACAGUGUUCUCUGUCUUCAACAGAAAACUGGGACCAGUGAGUCAUAUUUAACUCUUAACCAAAGCACCUCAGCCCUUAGAGCUAGAACAGUUCACACUAGGUUUUCUAUUGUCCUUUAGUAAUAGUCACUGGCUGUGGAUCUGAUCUGUUGCCUUGUUUUCCAUGUCCUCUCUCCUGAUGUGGUGGUGAUCAGCACCUACAGCAGUCCAGCGCCUGUUAAAUUCCACUCAUCGCAGUGUCAGCUAGCUGAUCCUCUCCACCAUUUCUAGCUCCAUUUGCACAUAAAAUAACCAAGCUCUGGGCUUGAUUCCACGUUGACGUUCCUGUCAGACACUGCGGUUG